UGCCAGACUCCUACGGGAGGCAGCAGUGGGGGAUAUUGCACAAUGGGGGGAACCCUGAUGCAGCGACGCCGCGUGGGUGAAGGAGCGUUUCGGCGCGUAAAGCCCUAUCGGCAGGGAAGAAGGAGGACGGUACCUGACUAAGAAGCCCCGGCUAACUACGUGCCAGCAGCCGCGGUAAUACGUAGGGGGCAAGCGUUAUCCGGAUUUACUGGGUGUAAAGGGGGCGCAGACGGCAGCGCAAGCCAGGAGUGAAAGCCCGGGGCCCAACCCCGGGACUGCUCUUGGAACUGCGUGGCUAGAGUGCAGGAGGGGCAGGCGGAAUUCCUGGUGUAGCGGUGAAAUGCGUAGAUAUCAGGAGGAACACCGGCGGCGAAGGCGGCCUGCUGGACUGCAACUGACGUUGAGGCCCGAAAGCGUGGGGAGCAAACAGGAUUAGAUACCCUUGUACU
rnacentral:rRNA from 1 species